UUUAACUGAAGAGUUUGAUCAUGGCUCAGAUUGAACGCUGGCGGCAGGCUUAACACAUGCAAGUCGAGCGGGGGAAGGUAGCUUGCUACUGGACCUAGCGGCGGACGGGUGAGUAAUGCUUAGGAAUCUGCCUAUUAGUGGGGGACAACAUCUCGAAAGGGAUGCUAAUACCGCAUACGUCCUACGGGAGAAAGCAGGGGAUCUUCGGACCUUGCGCUAAUAGAUGAGCCUAAGUCGGAUUAGCUAGUUGGUGGGGUAAAGGCCUACCAAGGCGACGAUCUGUAGCGGGUCUGAGAGGAUGAUCCGCCACACUGGGACUGAGACACGGCCCAGACUCCUACGGGAGGCAGCAGUGGGGAAUAUUG
rnacentral:rRNA from 1 species